GAUGAAGAACGUAGUGAAAUGCGAUAAGUAGUGUGAAUUGCAGAAUUCAGUGAAUCAUCGAAUCUUUGAACGCACAUUGCGCCCUUUGGUAUUCCGAAGGGCAUGCCUGUUCGAGCGUCAUUAUCACCCCUCAAGCCCUCGGCUUGGUGUUGGACGGUUUGGUGGAGGCCCCCUCGGGGGCUCCUGCCCCUCCCAAAGACAAUGACGGCGGCCUCGUUGGACCCCCGGUACACUGAGUUCUUCACGGGACACGUAUCGGACACAUGGGUUUACGGGACACGGUCUGCCUCCCCUCAGGGAGAAUCUUUCUAAGGUUGACCUCGGAUCAGGUAGGGAUACCCGCUGAACUUAAGCAUAUCAAUAAGCGGAGGA
rnacentral:misc_RNA from 1 species